rnacentral:rRNA from 1 species
UGACGGUACCUAACUAAGAAGCCCCGGCUAACUACGUGCCAGCAGCCGCGGUAAUACGUAGGGGGCAAGCGUUAUCCGGAUUUACUGGGUGUAAAGGGAGCGUAGACGGCGAGGCAAGUCUGAAGUGAAAGCCCGGGGCUCAACUCCGGGACUGCUUUGGAAACUGUUUUGCUAGAGUGCAGGAGAGGUAAGUGGAAUUCCUAGUGUAGCGGUGAAAUGCGUAGAUAUUAGGAGGAACACCAGUGGCGAAGGCGGCUUACUGGACUGUAACUGACGUUGAGGCUCGAAAGCGUGGGGAGCAAACAGGAUUAGAUACCCUG